UGCCACGGCAAUAUCACCCUGCAGCCCAAGACUGGUUACUCACUGAAGCUGAGCAGGGCUGAGUCUAGUCACUACCUAGAUGGGAGACUACAUGGGAAAACCAGGUUGCUGUUUUAG
ensembl:rRNA 5S_rRNA 5S ribosomal RNA